UACGAAGGGGGCUAGCGUUGUUCGGAAUUACUGGGCGUAAAGGGCGCGUAGGCUGUGCUGUAAGUCAGGCGUGAAAUCCCCGGGCUCAACCUGGGAAUUGCGUUUGAUACUGCGGCGCUGGAAUGCAGGAGAGGAUGGCGGAAUUCCCAGUGUGGAGGUGAAAUUCGUAGAUAUUGGGAAGAACACCGGUGGCGAAGGCGGCCAUCUGGCCUGUAAUUGACGCUGAGGCGCGAAAGCGUGGGGAGCAAACAGG
rnacentral:rRNA from 1 species